CUUUAUUUUCCAUGGUUAGUUCAAUUAUUCAUGUCACUCCUGGGUACAAACCACUACUGAGGCCCUGUUUAGAAGAGAAUGGCCCCAUCAAGAAGGUUUAAGUCUUCACUUUUAGUUCAUGCGCAGUAAGUUUCAAUAGAGCAGAGAAUGCAAGCAAGCAGUAAGACAAUGGCAAACGUAGCAAAACAAUUUGCUGAAAAAGAGUUAACAAAGUCAGUCAGGUCAGGAGCACAAGCGCAGCUCAGUACUCCACCAUUGUUGUUAUUGUCCUCCUACUCGUGCACGGUCAUUUGGCUGUAAUUGUGAUACACAUGCCUGAAUGUCACCAGCAGCUGAGCUGAGCUGAGUCUUUAGCUUUUUCUAAAAAAGUAGAAAGGGACUCUGUUCAUCAAAUGGAGUUUCGUGAAUCAUUCCACCACAGAGGGACAACGAAGGAAAAGAGUCUUGCAAGUGAUUUGGGGCCCGCUGUGAUGGGAGCACCAGGCACCUAUCAUUUGCAAAGUGUAGCAGGCCAGUGCGAGCAAAGACCUGGAUGAGAGAUUCAAGGCAGGUAGGAGCUGCUUUUGUUUAUUUUGUAAACAGGAAGUAGGGUUUUGAAUUUGAGUCAAGCUGCAAGAGGGAGCAAGUGGAUAGAGAUGUGCUGUUUUGAGUUAAGUGAAACCCAGACAGGCUGCUGCAUUUUGGAUCAUCUGCAGAGGCGUGAAUGUGCAUGCAAGAAGGCCUAGUUACUGUAUGAUAUUACAUGAGCCUGCAUCAGUAGCCAUGUUGCAUGCUUUGAUAGGUCUGAUCCUCCUGAUGUUGUAGAGGGUGAACUGGCACGACUGAGCAACUAAGACCACAUGAACGUUGAAAGUUAGCUGGUCAUCAAUCAUGACACCCAGAUCCCAUGUAGGCAAACUUCCCCCAAAUGACAAAAGAGUCAUUUGGUGGUAGUUCUAAAAGAUAAUAUUGCAGCCAUUACAUUAAGCAGUUUUACUGUGGUAAUACCAAAAAUGAUUGAACCUGUAACAAUUAUUUAAGAGUUAUACAGAAAUUUUCUGCCCCUGCUGAGUUUUAUAGAUCGGCCUUGACUGAGUAUGAGAGUAGAGACAUGCAUGAAAUGGGUGAAUGAAGGCAGGUUUUUUAGUGAAAGUGUGUGCUGACAGAAAGGAUGAGAAGACGGGGGUCUAUGUGUGUGUGUCAGAGAUAGUGUGAAGGCUCCUCCACACUCACUGCAUCAACAGAAUGACUGAAGCUUGCACAAUGUGUCUGUCACCACCAAAAAGCCCUCUGACAUUCUGGGAACAGCAUGUUGGCCUGCAGUUGCUCCCUGGAAUCAAAGUCUCAUCUGCACUUGUCUAGCUCCCACAGCACAGAGUUAACAACUGACCUGACG
rnacentral:lncRNA from 1 species